rnacentral:rRNA from 1 species
UACGUACCGUCCAAACGUUAUUCGGAAUUACUGGGCUUAAAGGGUUUGUAGGCGGCGCUGUUAGUCGGGUGUGAAAUCCCAGGGCUUAACCCUGGAACUGCGCCCGAUACUGCAGUGCUUGAGGGAGACAGAGGUAAGCGGAACUGAUGGUGGAGCGGUGAAAUGCGUUGAUAUCAUCAGGAACACCGGUGGCGAAAGCGGCUUACUGGGUCUCUUCUGACGCUGAGAAACGAAAGCCAGGGGAGCGAAGGGG